rnacentral:lncRNA from 1 species
CUUCUCGAUUGUCUCGAUUUUUGCUCUAUCCACUUCAAUCCCCUUUGAAGAGAUCCGAAGACCUAAGACAAUUCCCUCUUUUACCAUGAAGUGACACUUUUCCCAAUUAAGUAGAAGGUUAGUUUCUUCACAUCUCUUCAAAACUAACGCCAAAUUCCCAAGACAAUCAUCAAAAGAUGAUCCGAAUACAGAAAAAUCAUCCAUGGAAAUUUCAAUAAUCCGCUCUACCGUAUCUGAAAAGAUUGACAUCAUACACCUUUGGAAGGUAGCUGGCGCAUUGCAAAGUCCAAAUGGCAUUCGACGAAAGGCGAAAGUGCCAUGAGGGCAUGUGAAGGUGGUCUUCUCUUGGUCCUCUGGUGCUAUGGCUAUUUGAUUAUACCCCGAAUAGCCAUCUAGGAAGCAAUAGUACUCAUGCUCGGCUAGCCUGUCUAACAUUUGAUCAAUGAAUGGCAAGGGGAAGUGGUCCUUCCGAGUGGCUUGUUCAAUUUUCAAUAAUCCAUGCAAAUUCUCCAUCCAGUAACUAUUCUUGUAGGGAUCAACUCAUUGUUAGCAUUCUUUACCACUGUCAUUCUUCCUUUUUUUGGUACUACUUGCACAAGACUGAUCCAUGAGCUAUCAGAAAUUGAGUAAGUCACUCCGGCAUCUAACCAUUUUAAGACCUCUUUAUGCACCACUUCCUUUAUUGUCGGAUUGAGUCUUCUUUGAUGUACCACCGCUGGCUUGCAAUCUUCACCCAACAAAAUUCGGUGCAUACAAAUAGAAGGG